GGUAUGUUUAUUGUGCUAGAACAACUCGGACCGUGAAGGAACACAGCCAGAGCAAGAGCAGCUUCUGCACCUCCAGGGAACUUGUUAGAAAUGCAGAUUCUCAGGCCCCAGCCCAGACCUACUGAAUCAGAAGCUCUGAGAGUGGAGUCCAGCAAUCUGUGUUUCAACAAGCGCAUGGUGGCUCGCUCCGAUGCCUGAUAAAGUUUGAGAACCACCCGCACCAAAGAAUAAAGGACUAACAACCAUAAGUAACAUCCUAGGUGAAAAUAAACAAACCAAAGAAGACAAAUGUACAAGUUCCAAAAAGAAAAAUCAAAAAACCAAACAGAG